UCCGGUUCAUCACCGGCAGUCUCCUUAGAGUCCCCAACUUAAUGAUGGCAACUAAGAACAAGGGUUGCGCUCGUUACGGGACUUAACCCAACAUCUCACAACACGAGCUGACGACAGCCAUGCAGCACCUGUCUCUGCGCUCCUUUCGGCACGCCAGUAUCUCUACCAGCUUCGCAGGAUGUCAAGAGUAGGUAAGGUUCUUCGCGUUGCGUCGAAUUAAACCACAUGCUCCACCGCUUGUGCGGGCCCCCGUCAAUUCCUUUGAGUUUCAACCUUGCGGCCGUACUUCCCAGGCGGAAGACUUAUCGCGUUAGCUUCGAUACCAAUAGGUUCCCCUACCAACAUCUAGUCCUCAUCGUUUACAGCGUGGACUAC
rnacentral:misc_RNA from 1 species